AACAACCCAACUUGUUAUUUCGACAGGAUGGACAACUGAUCGCAAUGUAAUAUGUUGACUUCACUAUUCUCAAAAGACUACAACUCAAACAACAUGGUUUUGCUACCAUAGAAAGAGAAAUCAAUACAUAUCUAGUUUCAUUCCAUUGUUCUGGUGGAAGAAAAUGGUGCGGCUAUUCUUCAUUUUCAAGAGGCUUGGCAAUCUACUAAUUUUGGAGGAUAAACUUUGUUUUGAUACGAAUGACCUUGUGCUUUAUUUGGAAUUUGUGAUGAAAAAUGAUCUUGCUCAAAGCAAGAUAGGUGGAAGAAUUUGUGAUCUUAGUAUGGGCGGUGUAGGAAAUAUUACUCCCUCUUGCACUUUUUAUCAGGUAUGCAUAUUAUGUAUCAAG
rnacentral:lncRNA from 1 species